CCCUGGGCUCCGGGGCCGCCCCCGAAGUGGGCGCGCGUUCUCCGCCGGGCUGGGGCCGUGAAUGGAGCCAGUAAAAUGACGAGCGGUGCCCGAACGCACUCAUUCUGAGAACCGAUUAGUGGUGGACGUGUGAUUCAAAUUUAUGGGCGCCGUGGGUGUUUUUUUUCUGGGCAGCGGCCCCGGAGCAGAAGAGUCGGGAGUUAGAACAGCGUCUUAACAGGGAACUGACCUAGUUUCAUGUAUCGAGAGGGCUCCCCUGAGACACUGUUUAUUUAGCGAGUCCUUGUCCGGUGCGUCCUACUCUGCUAGUUGUAACUCUUUGAAGCGUCAGAGCAACCGUUGUUGCCCCCAUUCCUCCAGCUGGGGAAGAGGGAGCACGGAGCUCAGUGGCAGCUCUGGGACGGAGGGACAGCCUCGGACGCUUGGAGGGCCUGGCUCCCUGACCCCAGGUCCCCGCCCAAAUGCCACCUCAUCCACCUGUGUUUUCAACAGCCAGCUGUGCUCUGGGGCUCAGCAGAGGGCAGGGCAGAGUCCCUACCCCGUAAUGGGAUGGGCAGUGGCGGCGGGGAGCCGCAGAGCUACAGAGAAGACCAUUUCAGGCAGUAAGAACCAAAGAGACUACAGCAGGGUAGUGAGACCGUGAUGAAAGUGAUGGUUCCACCUAAGUUGGGGGGAUGAGUCAGGGAAGGCCUCUGAGAAGGUGACAGCCGUGCAGAAAUGUGCAAAGGUCUUGAGGCCAGAGUUUGGUGUCUGGGGAGCAGGAAAGGCCUCUUUGGCUGGGGUGUGUGAGCAGAGAGAGGUCUGAGUGUCAGAGAGGGGCUACAAUUGGAAUAUGGAGUUUGUUCUGUGCGGCACUAAUGAGUCUGAAUUGGGAGUGACCUGACCUGAUUUACGUUUUAGAACGUUCUCUCCCGCUACUGUGUAGCGACUGGGCCAUAGGAAGGACUAGACAGGGAGCCAGGAGACUAGCUAGGUGGCUCUGACAGAGGUUUGGGUGAUGUAGAUUACAAACCAGUUGCGUGAGUCGGCUCAGACAGUCAUAAUGAAAUACCACAGACCUGGAGGCUGAAACAAGAAAUUCGUUUUCUCACGAUUCUGGAGGCUGGAAGUCCAAGGUCAAGGUGUUGGUAGGCCCCUGGAAUAGUGCCUCGCACUCCAUAAACACUUCUCGAAUGGAUGUCCCUGGGAAAUUUGGAGCUAAGAGCUGUAGGAUGAACAAGAGCUUCUAGGGGUCGCCUGCCUUCCUUGGCUGGUGGACGCUUCCAUCAUCUUCAAAGCCAGCAAUGGUCGGUUAAUCAAGCCUUUCUACAACGCAUCGCUCCGUUUCUGCCUCUGAUAUCACGUCUCCUCUGACUCUCCUGCCUUCUUGUAAUUACAUUGAGCCCAUCCAGAUAAUCCAGGAUGAUCUCCACAUGUAUAUAUGGAAGAGUUCUUAUGGCCAGAACAUUUGUAUUUUAAAGAAGAGAAGAACAAGGCCUGUUCUUUUUAGAUAGGUUCUGUUUUUCCUAAGGUAUGUUGUGUUUGUGACUUCAGUCUUCUUACUCACCUUGGAUUCUCCACUCCCCUGCAUGCUGUCCUGUCAUUUCUCAAGCGAAUAAGGAGGCAGUAUAUGAGUCUAUUUUUAGUUACCUUGGUUUUCCCUUCAGCUGGGCACCAAACUGGGUAUCUUAGUGAAAGAACCCAUCUCCUAGCACUCAUCUGGAAAUCUGGGAGGGAGUUUUGGGCCAUGGGGAUCUCUGGACAGUGGCUCCUGCACCCAGGCAGUGACAGCAGUGGUAGUUCUGUUUCAUGUGUAAAGUCCUCCAAGAUUCUCAGCUGAAGCUGGCACGUGCCCAUGACAAAAGUGGUUUUUGUUUUAUAUAUUCACAUCCUAAGUCCCCUCAAAAAAAAAAAAAAAAGAUGUUCUAUAUCGUUAUAAAUACCAUACACUCUCACUCAAGCUCCUCCAAAUAAAUAUAAAAUCAAUGUUAUAGAAUAAGUGUUUGUGUCCCCUCUCCCAAAUUCAUGUAUUAGAAAUUGUAACCCUCAAUGUGAUGUUAUUAGGAGGUGGGGCCUUUGGGAGGUGCCUAGGUCAUGAGGGUGGAGCCCUUAUGAAUGAUAUUAGUGCCCUUAUAAAGGGAGGGAGACGAUUUCUCUGCGCCUUAUGUGAGGACACAAGAAGAUGCCUAUUUGCAGACCAGGAAGAGGGUCUCACCAGACACUAGAUCAUCUGGCACCUUGAUCUCAGACUUCCCAGCCUUCAGGUCUGUGAGAAAUAAAUGUCUGCUGUUUAAGCACCCUGUCUGUGGUGUUCUGUAAGAGCAGCAGGAAUGGGCUGAGACAGUGAACAUCUAAGAUACAAGCAGCUGGGCAGUAGGAGGCAGCACAAUGGUGGAAGG